rnacentral:sRNA from 1 species
GCACCUGCAAAUUCAGGUGCCGGGAUUGGUCUCCUGAAGAAGUCUUAUCGGCGACAUAUGGCGCACUGGCGUCUUUUUU